rnacentral:rRNA from 1 species
CCAGCCGCGGUAAUUCCAGCUCCAAUAGCGUAUAUUAAAGUUGUUGCAGUUAAAAAGCUCGUAGUUGAAUUUCAGGCCUGGCUGGACGGUCCGCCCUUCGGGUGAGUACUGUCUGUGGUCGGGUCCUACCUUCUGGCGAAGCGUCAUGGCCUUAACCGGCCGUGGCGGGGAACCAGGACUUUUACUGUGAAAAAAUUAGAGUGUUCAAAGCAGGCAAUCGCUUGGAUACAUUAGCAUGGAAUAAUGGAAUAGGACAAUGGUUCUAUUUGUUGGUUUCUAGGACCGUUGUAAUGAUUAAUAGGGAUAGUUGGGGGCAUUAGUAUUCAAUUGUCAGAGGUGAAAUUCUUGGAUUUAUUGAAGACUAACUACUGCGAAAGCAUUUGCCAAGGAUGUUUUCAUUAAUCAAGAACGAAAGUUAGGGGAUCGAAGACGAUCAGAUACCGUCGUAGUCUUAACCAUAAACUAUGCCGACUAGGAAUCGGGCGAUGUUGACAAAAUGACGCGCUCGGCACCUCAUG